UGAAUGGUUCAGUGAGGCUUUCGGACUGGCCCAGGGAGGUCGGCAACGACCACCCAGGGCCGGAAAGUUAUCCAAACUCGAUCAUUUAGAGGAAGUAAAAGUCGUAACAAGGUCUCCGUUGGUGAACCAGCGGAGGGAUCAUU
rnacentral:rRNA from 1 species